AGUGAGGUUGUAGUGAAGGGUAUUGCUUUCAAUAGGCCAUCUAUUUUUCUGAUGUCUUGUUCGUCAUUUAGGUUAUGGAUAAUGGAUCCGGAGCAUAUGAAUAGUAUAGCUUUGAGGAAUGCAUGUGUGCAGAUGUGAAGGAAAUCUAGGUAUGGUUGGUUGAUACUGAUUAUUACGAUUAUCAGACCUAGUUGGCUUGAGGUAGAGAAGGCGACAAUUUUUUUGAUGUCAUUUUGGGUGAGUGCGCAAAUUGCUGUAAAUAAUGUAGUGAUAGUCCCUAGGCAUAAUGUAAGUGUUUGGAUAGUUUUGCUGUUUUCUAUUAAUGGGUGGAAACGGAUUAGUAGAAAUACGCCUGCUACAACUAUUGUGCUUGAGUGGAGUAGGGCUGAAACUGGUGUAGGACCUUCUACGGCUGAGGGGAGUCAGGGGUGUAGGCCGAAUUGAGCGGAUUUUCCGGUUGCGGCUAGGAGGAGCCCAAUUAAUGGGAGGUUGAGGUUGGGUAUAAAGAUUUGCUGGAAGUCUCAUGAGUUUAUAUUGGACAAGAAUCACGCCAUUGAUAUAAUGAAGCCAAUGUCGCCGAUACGGUUAUACAGGAUGGCUUGCAGGGCGGCUGUGUUUGCGUCUGUUCGACCAUAUCAUCAGCUAAUUAAUAAGAAUGAUAUGAUUCCUACUCCUUCUUAUCCGAUGAAUAGUUGGAAAAGGUUGUUAGCUGUAACUAGGAUUGGGAUAGUGAUAAGGAAUAUAAGAAGAUACUUGAAGAAUCGAGUAAUGUAAGGGUCUGAGUGUAUGUAUCAUAUCGCGAGUUCUAUGAUGGAUCAUGUAACAAGAAGCGCUACUGGUACAAAGAUUACUGAGAAAUAAAAUAGUCUAGUUCGAAGAUGAGUGAUAGUUUUAGGGUUUGAAUGGUUAUUCAGUGUCAGUUUGAGAUGAUUACUUCUUGACCCGAGUGGAUAAACGUGAUUGUGGGGAUGAGGCUAA